rnacentral:snRNA from 1 species
GUGCUUGCUUUGGCAGUACAUAUACUAAAAUUGGAAUAACAGAGAGAAGAUUAGCAUGGUCCCUGCACAAGGAUGACACACAAAUUUGUGAACUGUUUCAUAUUUU